GGAGUCCUACGGGAGGCAGCAGUGGGGAAUAUUGCGCAAUGGGGGAAACCCUGACGCAGCAACGCCGCGUGCGGGAUGAAGGCCUUCGGGUUGUAAACCGCUUUCAGCAGGGAAGAUCCAAGACGGUACCUGCAGAAGAAGCCCCGGCUAACUACGUGGCAGCAGCCGCGGUAAUACGUAGGGGGCAAGCGUUAUCCGGAUUCAUUGGGCGUAAAGCGCGCAGGCGGGGUGCUAAGCGGGACCUCCAAUCUCAGGGCUCAACCUUGAGCCGGGUCCCGAACUGGCAGGCUCGGGUU
rnacentral:rRNA from 1 species